CCUGCCUAUAGUCUGAUUUCUGUGAUGAUUAAGUGUCCGGUGUUUGCAUAGAUUUACGCGUUUCUAAUUUUACUUUCUAAUUACAUGUAUUUUGACAGUAGACACGAGGCAGGCAAGCAUUUUCAUGCCUACACUGAGAGACCUACUUUUUCAUACUGUUUUCAACUUGGAAAGUUCUUCGGGGUUUUAAAUGCUAAAACUUAAUUCGUGUCGUUUUUCAGAAUGAAAUUCCUUCUCGCAGUUUUUCUGCUAGCCGUAUGUAGCCUCGGAGAGUCGAAAAAACCAAAGGCACAGAAGGUUAUCUACGUGCAGAAGGUGGUGCCGCCCCAGAAGCAGCUCUCCGAAUACGACCUCUGCAAGGAGCAAUGCCGAAUCGAAAGCGAGACGCAAUCCAACAAAGAACGCGUCGAGCUUUUGAAACAGGAGAUCGACCGAGCUGAGCAGUUGCUCGCCGAGCACAAUAAACACGUGGAUGCUCCGGAAAUCGCACCCGAAACGUACAUGGAAGCUGGUCAGGUUCCGCCAAUGCGUAAGGCUAGCCGUUACGAUCAUUUGAAAAUGGCAGCCAACAAAAUUGUCGAGUCGACGAGUGAGCUGAAAAAUGCGGUGACAGGUGGAGGGGAUAAUUGA